UCAUGAGUUUGGAAACCAAAUUAAGUCCUUUCGGAGUCUUUUACUUGGAUAAAUAUGCAUUUUACUGAUCAUAUUAACUAAUGAUUUCUUAGCAUUUAUGUAAGGUCAUAGGGACAUUUACAUUUGCAAAAGUUUAAUUACAUAAACCUAAAUACUAUGAAAGACAAUAGAGCUAACUAAAGAUAUUACGAACCUUAACUUAGUCAGGUUUAAGGAUCUAAAUUGAG
rnacentral:lncRNA from 1 species